ACAAAGGGACAGUCAGAGAGAGGGGCCUCGGGGCAUAAGGCAGAGGUUGGGGAGAGGCAGCCAGGUGCCGGAGAAGUAACACGGUCUUAGGAGUCAGAUCUGGCUUCAAAUCCUGGCUCCUUUACAUUUUUACUGUUUGGCCUUGAGCAAAUUACUCAGUGUCUCUGAGUCUAUUUUUUCAUCUAUAAAUGGGCCUAUAAGAGUGUCUAGUUAGUAGAAUUAUAAAGAUUAAAUACACUCAGAGGCCAGCAGAUAAGAGCUGCUUGGUAAAUACUAGUUAUUAUUAACAUUAUUCCCAUUUAGUCUUUUCAUUCAAAUAAAGGGACCCUCUCCAUUAGGGAACAGGGCCCAGGAAAGGGCUUCAAGGGCCUGGUUCUGCCCAGUAACAAAAGAGGCCUUGUCAGUGCUGCCUAGGGAUGGUCUAAGCCAGCCUGCCUACAGGAGGCAGCUGCUGGGGCAUGGUACCCAGCUCCCUCACCCCAAAGGCACCCUCUGAAGUAGGCAGGCACACAGGUACAGGCAUGUGGUCUGGGGCCCCAGAGGCCCCUAGAUGCGUGCAUGCCCAGCUCCAGUGAGGGUGCCAGAGACAGGCCAGGCAUGUGAGAAUCAGCCUAGACCCACCAAGGCCCCCACCCCCAGGGAAGCUUGUAGAUGAGAGUUGACCCUUGUGCCUACUUGCUGGAUUCUUCCUGGGAGCUGAUGAUAAUGUGCUGAAAAGCCACUGGGCAGGGAAUCCGGAGACAGAGUUCCCACUCUAGUUCUGUGACCCAGGCAAGGUUUUUGCCUGCUGUGGCCCUGCUGGGCUCACUUUUACAGGCAGGAGUCCGCUGGGGGUGCUGUGAGCACUGGCCCGAGGGGCUGCUUUUCUAGGGUGGGGUCUGGGGGAAUUUCCAGCUAAGAAGCAGCCAGGAAAUGCGGUUGCCAAGUGGGAAGACAUGGAGGCUUCUGGAGCCCUCCCACUUCCGCUGCAUCCUUGCUGCUUCCCACUAAUGAGCCCUGGACAGGGCACAUCCUGUCACUUCCAGGAACUGCCUCCAUACCCUUCUGCUGCCUGCCCUGGUACAUCUUCAUCCUGAGCUAAGUGCUGGCCCAGGACCUCCUGGGCUCAGGUUCCUGCGUGUCUGCUGCUUCCCCUCUUCCCCCAAGACACCCACUCCCGUGUCCAGCCAGAGGGGCCACACCCUGAGCAAGGACCACACUUUGCCCAGCUCUGGCCUGGGGCCUGAGGGCUCUAGGGAAAGCCUGAGGCCUGGGGAACCUUUAGAAACAGCUUGCUUUCCCAAAUGUGGCCCACCUGGGCUAUUAGCCAGAGAUGGCUCUGUGCAGAUUUGUUAACGGUGCCCUUUUGUUCUGCUGAGACACAGCCCUAUGCCUGGCAUGAGGCUUGGUGAACAGAACAUGGACUGGAUGUCAGACUCUACAUGCUGUCUGCAGGACUGUGUGUGGGGGCCCCCGUUCUGCCUUGGGCUGGCUGGAGGAAGGGAGGAACUGCCACAUCUGUGCUGCAGCCAAACCCUGAGCUCUGAGGGUCCCAGGCAAGGUGCCAUACAAAAGCUCGUUCAGUUCUGUGUGCACGUUUGUGUGUGGGUGGAUGUGCAGGUGUAUAUGUGUGUAGGCAUAAACUGGAACUACCGGUUCCUCUGGCUGAUUUUGAGGAAGGAUGGGGAGGUCCCUGCAUGCUGGAGCCUUUACCUGAGGGUGUCUGAUGCCUGGCCCACCUGCUCCCCACCAUUUUUCUUGGUCUCCUUGGGGUGCUGAGGGCAACAUCACCACAGAACGGGGCCACAGUGCCGGCAGCCAGGCUCCCAGCUCUUGUUUUUAUCACAGGUUACUUUUGCCUACAGUUGCAUUUACAGUCUGGACUCAGGAUGGCAGAGAACAAACUGGCCUGAGUAGCCACUCAUGAGGUCAUCUCUUCUCCCAGAGGUUUUACCUCCUCGGUGAAAUGGGAGGGAGGAAGGGGCCCGGCUCUCCUGCUGGAGUCCCUGUCCACCCCCAGCCAGGGCCGGCUGUACCCACUCACACGGCCGCAGCAGACUGAAAAGGGCUGAGCCUGGUUCUGCCAUUCAUAGAGACCUGCCUUCUUUAGAGAGAAGCUGGAGCAACUCUGGGGAGUGCUGGACAGCAGCCCUGUUUGGGUACUAGCAGCCUGCACCUGGGCCAGCAUCAGUACCCGGGCCCCAUGAGGGCAGCCUCAGGAGCACCGGUCUGCCGCCUGUGAGAUGAACCAACUGAAGCAAAGAAACCUGGCGAAGCUCUCUCUGCUAGCAAGAGUCAGAGGCAGUCCUCGAACUCUGAUAGUCUGGCUCCGGAGCUCCUCUCCUACCCACCAUGCCCAGCUACCUCCCUUCAUGAGCAGGUAGCCCAUAUCUGGAGUGAACGGUUUUCAGAGUGCUUUCAUGUACCCACCCACUCCCACUGUUAUGUGCCAGAGCAUGCUGCCAUCCUCCUGUUGUUGGGAGCAGUUCUGUGCACGCAUUUGCCUUCCCUGCAGAGCUGCCAGAUGCCUGAGGCAGGGGCUGCUGGAACCUCAGAAGCAAACAAGGGCCUGGCGCACAGUAAUGCCUCUUGAGGAAUGAAUAAACCUGAUGAGCCAGUGCCAGUCCUACCAGGGGCCUCGCUUACCUCGGCUGAUCCUCUGCUUCUCUCCGGAGAGGAUUCCUGACUCCUAGGCUCCAGACCAGACUCAGCCCCAGCAGUGGGUCUAGGACCUGUCCUUUGAGGAAGCUCCGUGGGUGAUCCUGAGGAGCCGUGGUCCUAUGUUUGAGAACCCCUGCUGCCAAGGACACCAAGAUGUCCAGACCCGGAUCCCUGACCCCAAGGCACACAGUCUGAUGGGAAGAGGAGGCAUGUACACGGGCAGCCACACCUUCUCUCUUAUGUGCCAUUUUUGGUGGAAGCCAAGAAAUGUCCUACUAUCCCAGGUCCACUGAGCCUCUGCUACCCAGUGAGAGGGCUGCAGAGAUGCUGGUUAGGUGAGGAGCAAGGGACACAUGGAAGAAGUGAAAGAGGGGGCAAGGGAAGGCUUCCAGAGGAGGCGGCACUUGAACCAUGAUUUCAACAGAUGACCAGCAUUUGCCAAGCCAACAGGUGCCGGCGGGAAGCCAGACUGCAUGUGUGUGUGGUGGAGAGAAGCCGCAUUCCAGACGGAGAUAAGGGCUCACAAGGGACAAGCAGUGCUGUGGGCUGAAAGGUGUCCCCCAAAGAUAUCUGUUGAAGCCCUAAUCCCCAGGAGCUCAGAUGUGAUGGUCUUACCUGGAAAUAGGUUCGUUGUAGAUGCAAUUAGUAGAUGAGGUCAAACUGGAGUAGGGUGGGCCUCUAAGCCCGUCUGACUUGUAAGACGGGAGAGCCCCUUGAGGAGUCACAGAUGCACGCACAUGAGGGGAGGUGGCCAUGAGAUACGGGGGCAGGCCCCCAAGCCAGACGAGCCAGGAACCCCUGGGGUGACUGGAAGCUGAGCGAGCUGAGGGAGGCUCUCCUCUUGGGGCUCCCAUGGGAGCAUGGCCCUGCGAACACGCUGACCACAGACCCUGCCUCCCCUCCAGAACUAUGGGACAAUCGUUUUGUGUUGUUGUAAGUCUCCCUGUGGUAGCUGGUUAUGGCAGCCCCGGGAGAUGACCUCAAGCAGGACAAAUGCAGCAGGACAAUGAGGGAGGGAGGGAGAUAGGAUGGCCCACCCCAGGGGGCACACAUCACUCAGGUGCCAGCAGGAAGGCUGGAGUGGCCAGAGAUGGUGCUGGUCAGGAUGGCAGGGGCCCUGAAAGCCACAUUAAAAAAAUUCAGAUUUUAUAAUGAGGGCAGUAGAAACCCAUUGGAAUGUUUUAAGCAAAAGAGUGACUCCAUUAGAUAUGGUGGUUGUCAGCAUGUCCAGCUCGGUUUGACAAAUAUUUAUGAAGUGCCUGCUAUGUGCCUGGCACUGGCUAGGUAAUGGGGCUUGAAGAGUGAGUGACACACCUCCUGUCCUAUUGAUGCCCAUGGUUUCCAUUGUGCAUAAGACCCAGCCACAUGCUGGUCCUGGGGCCCAGCGGUAUAUCCCAGUAUUCUAAGGCAAGGCCACCUUUUGCUGAGCAGCAGGUGGUUGUUUGCGUGGGGCUGCAGCCAUAGCUGUGGUGUCACCCAGGCUAGUGUGUGGGGUGAGAAGGGCUGGGACUGAGGAAGGGCUUGACUGAUGGUGACAGCAGGUCACAGGAGCCAGAGAAAAAGAGGACCAGGGAACACUGGAAAGGGCCCAGCCAGGGAGGCAGGGUCAAGGAGCAGAGAGGCGAUGGUAGUUGAAAAAGACAAACACCAAAGAGAGGUGGGUAAGGGAAGGAUGGGAAGUGCCCACUGCUUAUGAUCACUAGGAGGUCACGGUGGCCUUCACACCACAGCUAUUCCCCAGGUUGGGCAACAGGAAGAAGUCAGGGGGUGAAGCCAAGAAACAUGGCUAUGAAAGGAAAACAAGAAUGGUGAGAGUGAAUAGGGCCUGCUGUCGGGUUUCAAGAGGAGACAUUCCCUGUGGAGCGGGGAGCCAAGGAGGGUGACGCCAUCAGGAGAGGGACUGAUCGGUGGUGCGAGUCCCUGAGAAGCUGGCCCCCAAGCUCAGCCCAGGGGAAGGGAGGCAUUGGACCUUGAGGAGAAAGAGAAGAUGGCUUCUGGGGAGAAGGAGGCGAGGACAGAGGCAAACGAACUCAGUUCAUGGACAGAUUAAAAAAACCCAAGUACAUGGAAUCCAGGGACACUGAUUGAUAUUUUCCCUGGAGUAGGAAGUAAGAUCAUCUGCCGAAAGAGAAGGCUGAGGUGCUGAAAUAGUCGCUGAAGGGAAACGAGAGCACAACUGCUUUGAAACUUGGAGGAGAUGAGCACCACUGGCUUUGGGGACUCCGCUCCCAUCAAUGCACAGUAGGAGCCUGACUCUACACAGCAGGCACAGGCACCCUCAGCUUGCAAUGGUGCUACCUGAGGCCAAGGAAAUGGCCUUGAGGGCUCUAUGGGUAGAGGACUGAAGAGAAAGAAGCCUGUCCUCCAAAGGUAGGAAGGAUUCUCAUCACUCUGUGGACAAUAUAUGGACAUCUCUGAAUGUAAGGUGCACAAAUUGACUUCUUGAGGAUCCCUCUAGCCCCAGAAUUCUGAAAUUCAAGGGAAUGGAUGAUUCAACCUCAAAGUUACAGGCUUUUAGCCAAGCAUCUCCUUCCAUGAAGUUAGGACCAGCAUCCUAGGCGGCCUCCUUCGAUUCUCUUGCCAAAAGGCCAGAUGAGACCAUUGCCAAUAUCCCUUCCACCUCUUAAAGACAUUAAUAUUAUUACUGGGCCAUUAAGAUCAAACAAGGGCAAAGGAAAAAGCACUCCACUUUUGGACACUGCUUCUGUCCAAACUCCAAGAGUGUAGGAGCUCUGUCCAGAAAAGGAAACUGGUAAGAGGACAAGUGGAAUGACCAGGCAGAAGAGCACAGGAUCCCCAGCCCAUGUCCUCAGCUGCAACUGUAAAGCCCCUAUGUGAGUGGCUGAGUCCUUUAAAAGGCAAGGGAAGUGGUUCUGUCCAUGUGGCAGGUCCCUAAAAAGUGGGGGUGUAAGACACCCACACCAGCAUAAGGAGCUUUCUCACUUGUGCCUCCCAGGCCUCAGUUUCAUCCUCCAUAAAAUGGGGAGAGUAAGGAUGGAUCUGAACUUUACCACUUCAAACUGACCACUGAGCUAAGUACAGUGGAGAGGCACUAGGCAGGACAGGGCAGGAGACCAGCAAUGAAAUUGCCGGGUAAGCUUUGGGCACAUGCAGACAAGGAUUUCUUCCGAGCCUUCAACUGAAGACUCCCCAUUUGUCCAAGGGCAGGAGGGGACACUGGGAGUGGAUGGGGGGCCUCAGCUCUGGAAGGCGGGGUGGGCUGC